GAUGAACGCUGGCGGCGUGCCUAAUACAUGCAAGUCGAGCGAACAGACGAGGAGCUUGCUCCUCUGACGUUAGCGGCGGACGGGUGAGUAACACGUGGAUAACCUACCUAUAAGACUGGGAUAACUUCGGGAAACCGGAGCUAAUACCGGAUAAUAUAUUGAACCGCAUGGUUCAAUAGUGAAAGACGGUUUUGCUGUCACUUAUAGAUGGAUCCGCGCCGCAUUAGCUAGUUGGUAAGGUAACGGCUUACCAAGGCAACGAUGCGUAGCCGACCUGAGAGGGUGAUCGGCCACACUGGAACUGAGACACGGUCCAGACUCCUACGGGAGGCAGCAGUAGGGAAUCUUCCGCAAUGGGCGAAAGCAUGACGGAGCAACGCCGCGUGAGUGAUGAAGGUCUUCGGAUCGUAAAACUCUGUUAUUAGGGAAGAACAAAUGUGUAAGUAACUAUGCGCAUCUUGACGGUACCUAAUCAGAAAGCCACGGCUAACUACGUG
rnacentral:rRNA from 1 species